UCAUACAAGAAACCCGAAUCAAUAGCCAACCGGCGUAAAGAGUGGCCAUAUGUUAUCCUCAUUACCUAAGAUCGAAGUGCAACUAAGCUGUCAUAAGCCCAAGAUCCACUUAAGGCCCCCUCCCAACCAUCUUAGCCUAACGACUAAUUUCACCCCACGAAAGCCAGGACACAAACUGGGAUUAGAUACCCCACUAUGCCUGGCCCUAAAUCUAGAUGCCUGCAUACCCAUGCAUCCGCCCGAGAACUACGAGCACAAACGCUUAAAACUCUAAGGACUUGGCGGUGCCCCAAACCCACCUAGAGGAGCCUGUUCUGUAAUCGAUAGUCCACGAUUCACCCAACCACCCCUUGCCAACACAGCCUACAUACCGCCGUCGCCAGCUCACCUAAAAUGAAAGACCAACAGUGGGCCCAACAGUCAUACCACUAGCAAGACAGGUCAAGGUAUAGCCCAUGGGGUGGAAGAAAUGGGCUACAUUUUCUAACAUAGAAUAAACGAAAAAGGGCGUGAAACCCGUCCUUGGAAGGAGGAUUUAGCAGUAAAGUAGGACCAUUUUCCUAAGCCUACUUUAAGACGGCCCUGGGGCACGUACAUACCGCCGGUCACCCUCUUCGUAGGCUACCAGUACUAAUAAAUAAUACCCA
rnacentral:rRNA from 1 species